rnacentral:tRNA from 1 species
GCCGCCGUGGCACAACCCGGUACAAUCUGUGCUUUGGCAUGGUUGCCGAAUGCGGCGGUCUCGAAAACCGCUGGGAGCAAUCCCGUCCCGGUUCAAAUCCGGGCGGCGGCG